rnacentral:rRNA from 1 species
CCUACGGGAGGCAGCAGUGGGGAAUAUUGGACAAUGGGGGGAACCCUGAUCCAGCCAUGCCGCGUGUGUGAAGAAGGCCCUCGGGUUGUAAAGCACUUUCAGUGAGGAAGAACGCCUGGUGGUUAAUACCCAUCAGGAAAGACAUCACUCACAGAAGAAGCACCGGCUAACUCCGUGCCAGCAGCCGCGGUAAUACGGAGGGUGCGAGCGUUAAUCGGGAUUACUGGGCGUAAAGCGCGCGUAGGUGGCUUGAUAAGCCGGUUGUGAAAGCCCCGGGCUCAACCUGGGAACGGCAUCCGGAACUGUCAAGCUAGAGUGCAGGAGAGGAAGGUAGAAUUCCCGGUGUAGCGGUGAAAUGCGUAGAGAUCGGGAGGAAUACCAGUGGCGAAGGCGGCCUUCUGGACUGACACUGACACUGAGGUGCGAAAGCGUGGGUAGCAAACAGGAUUAGAUACCCCAGUAGUC